UGCGUGUGCGUGCGCCAUUUUGUUUAUCUUAACGGACAUCCUGAAGGAGAGAUAGGCUGCGAUUUCUCUCCUCAGCCAACCAGCAGUCACGCAGAGUGAGUGGAAAGCAAAGAACUUGGCAUCACGUAAAACCUCUUUCUAGAAGCCAAGUUUGCUUAUGAAACUACCUCCACGCCUGUAAAACUCAAGGCAUGAAAGAACAGAGAUUGUGUACUUCCUACAGUCUGGCUUCUUCCCAAAGAGAAGAGACACAGUAUCUCUGCUUUACCUUGAACUUGGAGCAUAUAGACACCUGGAACUAGAAGAAAACGCAUCACUAAAUCUUCAGGAUAUUCCAGGAGAGCACCCAUUUGUCCACCUGCGGUGAAUAUGGUGGUGUUUGCAAAGGUGUUUUGGUCAGAUGUCCUCAUCUCUAUAAAACGAACCUUGAACAGCCUGACUUACUCUGAAGGCAUGUUGGACAAUAAAGGAUGGAAAACUGGAAGGAGGGAAGGAAACCAUGGUUCUUCAGGGAAUUAGAAUCUACUGGCCGUCACAGAUAUGCAUUGGGAAUAUAGAGGUACAUGCAUUCCAGCCUGUGUUCUUAAACACCUCAGAGUCCAGUGGGGAUGACAUGCAAGACCCCAGACAAAUGACGAUACAACAUGGUCACUACUGAGAGAGAAGCAAGAACUAAGUCCUGAAGGAGCACAUCUCUACUAGUCCAGAUCUCCACUGGUGAGCUCCUGCCUCCAGCCAGAUCAGUGGUUCUCCACAGGGAUCUACUCUUCCUCCAGAGGACGUUUGAUGACAUUCUUGGUCAUCACUGGGGUGGCUGUGAUAUGCUGCUGGCAUCUAGCAGAACCGUGGAAAUGCUGCACAAAACUAACUCAGUUACAUUUUGGAUACACCCACUUCCUACCAACACUCUAUCUUUGGUUUACUGAUGAUCGAGGAAGGACUGGAAGGAAAAAGAUCUAAUACCUACCUCAUUCAUCAGGCCAAGACAACAAAGACAUGAUUUCACUGAUCACCAGAAGGUUUAUGGUUUUAACUACAGACCAUUUGACAAAAGGAAACCCCAGUCUCUGGGUGGGAUGAGAACUGAAAUGUGGAUGGAUCUAAAGUGAACAGUUCUAUUACCAUCCCUAAAGUGUGUGGACUCAGGAAACAUAUUUCUAACAUCCCUACACCAGGUUGCAGAUUUUAUGAGAGAAGAGAAAGUGGGAUUCCUAAAAACACAAAGUAAUUCAGACACAUCUUUGGCUGCCAGAACAUACUUCAGACAAAAAAGGUUAAAGGCAUCAAGAAAGCAGGCAGUGGAGUUCCCAGAGGACCAGAUGCUGUGGUGAAAAUGCAUCUUGUGUGGAUUUUACUCCAGACAUCAAUGUAUGCACUGAACCUUUGGGGAGGGUGUCUCACUGGAGAAGGAACAGAAGUACCCUGACUCCCCAAUGUUAGAAACCUCUGCCAGGAUGAAAACACAGGACCAAGAAGCCCUGCUUUUCUGGGAGAAUUCCCCAGUGACAGGAAACCACAGAUUCUAAUGUCAAUUGCCUAUAUUGCUGUAGAAUCUCAGAAUGCAUGGAUUUCAUUUUGUAUGGUCCGGUCCUCACAGCAGCACUCGCCGUGACGUCUGAUUGUGCCCUGACUCCCACCUCUGAGCACAGCUGCUCACACCCGUUUCCACUACUUUGCAGCUCCCCUCUGUGGCGCUCUUUCAGCCUGACCCUCCAACUCCAAAGGGAACUGAAUCACUGGAUUACACGCAAGCUGAAUCCCAAAAAUUGCCAGCAUUGAACAAGGUCUAAGGCAAAUUGACCAGACUACGGUGAAUGAUUCUGAAUGGAGCAGCUUGGUGGUCCCAAUCUCAAUGUAAAUUCACGUGCGGCAAGAUCACAUAAGAUUCAGAUUUGGACAUGUGAAAAGGGAAGAAAAUGCUGUCAAAAAGUCACUUAGCAAAUCUGAUGCACGCAAACCUGUAAAGAACAGCAAACAUUAAUACAUUAAUAUUGGAUGAUGGAACCUGGACCAAAAGAUCAUGACAGGCUAAAACUAUAGACCAGAACCAGUGGGGGAAAAUUAUAGUGAUUCAGGCAAAAGCCUGCACCUUUGCACACUAAAGCACCUCCGGAGGUUAGGCAAGAAAUAGCAGCAACUGGACCAGCUGCUUUGGACCCAGAUAUGGAAACAAACAGUGAUGAUGGCAGAACCAACCCACCAGCCUGGCUUCUGGAUGACCUCACAGAGUAGUGGUGACCUGCAGGACAGGGUGCCUUUCCAGCCUUAUUACAGCACCCUUGGACGAUUACAUGAACUAGAAAUAACUUCUAUAUUAUUUAAGUUGACAUAUUGUUAUUGCAGCUUAGCCUUCAUCAUUUGGACUGAUAUGCUUGGUCAUUCCAAAGAUAACACAGAUGUUUUUUUAGCGCUUGAGCUACCUGAAGUACUGGAGGGAAGCUAAAAGGUAAGAGGUAUUCUGGUUGCCUUCCCAAGUAAUGCAUUACAAACAGGACCCUGUGGUAGACCUCAGUGUUAUCAUGUAUCUCCAAGUCAGUGCUGGAAUAUAGUAGACACUUAAUGGUUGCUACCGAGUUCUCUGACCCUUGUUUCUCAGGAAUCAUAGCAGCUGAAUGUCCUGAAGGAAUAUUAUUGUCCUUAAUCAGGCUUCAGGAUGUUUUUAAAAAAAACUCUCACAGAGAAGAUGGUAAAAUUGUUGUCACAGGUGGAUUCCAGCUUAAAUUUACUCAGAUAAGAACUGAGCAAAAAGGAGGGAACUAGGUUUGAGUCUGAUCCUAUAUAGUCUCCAAAAUAUAUAACUUAUUUAGGCGGAAUUCUUAUAAAGAUGAGGUGCCUGGUUUAUAUUUGAAACCUUUAGGAAAGAAACUUUUCUACAAUAUUUCAAUGGAUGCUAACCAAAAAGACUGUGGAGUUCUCCAUCCACGGGGGCUGGCAAGAAGGGAAGCACCUUGCUUAGAUAAGGUGAGUGGUGGAAGGAAGUUUCACAAGUUCCACAGCAUCACAGGGAGCACAUGGUGCUGAAUGAGCGGGGAAGUAGGAAGGUUUGGGGUUAAGGAGAAUAAAGGAACUAUCAAAGGACAAAAGAUGAGACUUUUAGCGGUGACUGUACUAUAAUGUCUGUGACUCUGUCCAGCUCCCCUUACGUCAAACACCCAUCCAUCCAUUCACUCAUUAGGUUAGUGAUGUUUAUUGAGCACCAACCAUGUGCCAGACACUAUACAAGGCACUGAGGACAUAGCUCUGAAUUAAACCGUAGUAGAGGCAGGAGAUGUAAGUGACAGAGGAUGUUCUCAUAGAUAGGAUGGUUGGGGAGGCUCUCUGAGGAGGGGAAAUCUGAACAGAGACCCAAAUGAAGAGAGGAAGGGAGCCUUAUCGGUGUAUAUCUGGGAGCUCCAGGCAGAGGGAGCACACAGGACAAUGACUCUGAAGAGGAGUUUACUUGGCAAAUUUGAGGAUUAGAAAGGAAGCAGUGUGGCCAGAGCAUGGCGUGGUAAGAGAAAAGUUAUUGGAGAGGCAGGUAGGCCUGGGGCAAGGUGAUACAGGCCUCAGAGUUUAUGGUAAAGGACCUGGCUUGAAUGUUUGCAGAACGUUCCCUGAGCACUGAGCACAGGAGUUGGGUCUCAUUCACCCCAAGUCCCCCGUAGUGCCUAGCGCAGAGCUUUAAUACUGUGCAUACUGUGCAAAGAAACUGGAACAAACAUCAAGUAAACUCUGGAAUAAACUGUAAAUGGGCACGUUAGGUAUACCCAGCCAUGGAAAAUACUUACAUAAUGUUUACUCAGAGAUUUUGGCAAUUCUCUGCACAAAUAAACUUGUCUUUAGCAAUCAACCAAUUAACUUUGCUACAAUAAAAAAGUGAUCAUUUUUAUUUCUAUGUAACUACUGAUCUUGGAACUUGCAAGGCAACUGCUCAAAAUAAUAAAUGGCUGAAAUGUCCUAACACCUGAGUAGCAAUGGUACAAGUCAAUUUUGCUCAUUUUGGCAGAUUCAAUAGAAGCUGCCUUUGUUGGACAACCUGCUUCUGUAUUUUAGGGAAAUUGAUUCAUGAGACAAUUACCCAGGAAAUGCAAAGGAGCACUACCUGCAGAAAAGACUCCACAUUUUGCUAGAAAUAUCUUUCAUACCCAGGUUCUCUAAGGAAAAUUAUGAAACGACAUUGCUUAGUCUAGAAAUUGUCUUCAAUGUAUAUUAAUUUAUUGUUUAUGUUACAACUUCUCCCUUUCCUUUUUUAAGGAAGAUGUUUAAAUGAGGAAUUUUCUUUUUUCCUGAGGCAAGAUUGGCCUUUGACUCAAAGUUAGAUUAAGAUAGUCUAUAAAGGACAUUGAGGGCUCUGUGAUGGCAACAGGAAAGCCCAAGAAAAGAGAGAACCUUGCUGAAGGAUCCAACCCCAAGAGGGAAGGGCGGGCUCUGGUGGGGGAGGAGGGAGGAAGGCAAAGAGUGAUGAAGACGAAGGAGACCUGGAAGUGACUAUUAUUUCAAGAGAUGGCCUUGAUAAGCUUAUUGUAGAGCAUGGAGCUUGGUCAGUGACCUCUCACUGGACUCAGGUUACGCGUGCUGUCAUCAUUCAGUCGUCACAGAGCUAGUCCCGUCCUUUUGAAAGGCACGCAUGUGGUAUAGUUCAACUGAAACUAGGUCUGUAAUAGCAUUAGGGUUUUCACCUGUUCUGUGUAAUGUCCAUACAGCUAUUUAAGGCAACUCUAUUUUCUAGACACCUACCACCUGCUACACCAAGUAGGGUGUUGUGGUUCCCAAUCUCAGCAUAAUAGUGGGGGAUGCUCAAGCGUAGAGAGAGGGUGAUUGUUGCAGGGACGAAGAAGGCAUUAUAAGGAGGACAAGAGAAGGGAUAUGCAUGGGUGGUUUUUAUUUCAGUAAGGCAAUUUCUUAGAGGUUUUACUGUCUUUACAGAAGUUUUUAUAAUAGUUUACAAAUAUGUAUCUUUGAAUUGUUCUAUUUUUAAUAAUUUCUUCAUUUUGUUUUCUCUUUUUCCCCCAGAAGAGAUGCCAUC